UCCAAUGAUGGCAUGAAAUCUUUGAGACCUGAAUUUAUUGAUUUUGAUGUCAACUACAAGCAAUUCUUCUGAGGAU
rnacentral:snoRNA from 1 species